CACAGUAGGUAAACGUGUGUGCACCACCACAAUAAGAAGGCAGCAUGAACGGAGCCAUGAUACUACGAUUCACCGUGGUGACAACCACAAACAAACCGGUCGGCAGAAAUACUCAUGCGCACAUACAGCGAGUU